rnacentral:rRNA from 1 species
UAUGCUUUACAAAUGCAAGUUAUACUAUAUUUACUUUUUAAAUAGUAAUUUUGUUAAAUUAUAGUAGCGAACGGGUGAGUAAUACAUAGGAAUCUACCAAUAAAAGGGGGAUAUCUAUUUUAACGAAUAGUUAAUACCGCAUAAUGUAUAAAGAUUUUCUUAAAUGAAUGUCGUUUAUUGAUGUGCCUAUGUUGGAUUAGCUAGUUGGUAUGGUAAUGGCUUACCAAGGCUAUGAUCCAUAGCUGUUCUGAGAGGAAGAUCAGCCACAUUGGGAUUGAGAUAAGGCCCAAACUCCUAUGGGAGGCAGCAGUGAGGAAUAUUGGUCAAUGGGCGCAAGCCUGAACCAGCCAUGCCGCGUGCAGGAAGACGGUCCUAUGGAUUGUAAACUGCUUUUAUACGAGAAGAAACACUACCUUGCGAGGUAGCUUGACGGUAUCGUAAGAAUAAGGAUCGGCUAACUCCGUGCCAGCAGCCGCGGUAAUACGGAGGGUACUAGCGUUAAUCGGAAUUAUUGGGCGUAAAGAGUUUGUAGGCGGUAUAGUAAGUCAAGUAUAAAAUCUUUAAGCUUAACUUAAAAUAUGUAUUUGAUACUACUUUAACUUUGAGUUUAUUAGAGGGUUGUGGAAUUUUCAGUGUAGCAGUGAAAUGCGUAGAUAUUGAAAGGAACAUCAAUGGCGAAGGCAGCAACCUGGGUAUAAACUGACGCUAAAGAACGAAAGCAUGGGUAGCAAACAGGAUUAGAUACCCUGGUAGUCCAUGCUGUAAACGAUGAUUGCUAGAUGUUGGUAUAAAAUAUUUAUAUUAGUAUCUGAGCUAACGCAUUAAGCAAUCCGCCUGAGUAGUACGGUCGCAAGAUUAAAACUCAAAGAAAUUGACGGGGACCCGCACAAGCGGUGGAGCAUGUGGUUUAAUUCGAUACAACGCGAAGAACCUUACCAGGGUUUGACAUGAUACGAA